UUAGAAUAUUCAUCUUAAGUGCCCUUCCUCUGCUCAGAGACUUCUGCCCCCUGAGACGUCUGGAUCAAUACCGACUCCCAACCUCUGACACCUCUCCUCACCCCCACUCUCCACCUCUACCUCGACCAUGUCUGCCUGCCUGCCUGCCUGCCUUCCUUCCUUCCUUCCUUCCUUCCUUCCUUUUUUUUGAGACCCUAUCUCAAAAAAAAAAAAAAAAAAAAAAAUUAUGCUUCUCUCUUGUUAAUGCAUCUUUUGUUAUGAGAGUGUCAGCCAUGAACCUAGCAAUGGGUGAGGAAAAGAUACCACUUUUUCUCUCUUAUGCUUCACAUCCCUCAAUUUCUGAUGGAUAAAAGAGAGGUAUAAGAGAUAAAAGAAUGAAAUAUAAAAGAAUGAAAUCGUAAAAGAAAACUUAAGUACAUAUUUAUCAGACCUUGGGGACUGGGAAAGAAUUUUACAAAUAUAAAAACGAUAAAGAAAUCACAUAGGAAAAAAUGACAAAUUUGAAUAUAUCAAAAUUUUAAAUGUAUACCAAAAACAACACAAAUUCAAUCAAAAGGUAUGGUAGUAACAGGGUCCACUAAUCCCCAUUGCACCAGUGGACAGCAAGCCAACAGCCAGCGUGUG
rnacentral:lncRNA from 1 species